rnacentral:tRNA from 1 species
AAGAUAAGAAAUCCGGGAAUAAGCUUCUAACUUAAAUCUCUAGCAGUGAAAUUCUGUUAAUAUCUUU